GGUAGUAAAAGUCGUAACAAGGUUUCCGUAGGUGAACCUGCGGAAGGAUCAUUAUUGUAUAACCGAGGUGCGAGGGCUGCCGCUGACCCGAAAGGUCGUGCACGCCCGAGUGCCCUCACACACAUCCAUCUCACCCCUAUGUGCACCACCGCGUGGGUCCCCCUUUGGCUUGUUCGGAGGGGGGCUUACGUUUUCACACAAACUUUGUAUGCAGUGUAGAAUGUAUUUUUUGUUUUUGCGAUCACGCAAUCAAUACAACUUUCAACAACGGAUCUCUUGGCUCUC
rnacentral:misc_RNA from 1 species